UUUUUGUACCACCAUUUUUCUUUGCAACAACUUUUAAUUCAUGCGCACAAAUGUACCAUGCUCAGCUAUUGCCAGCUAUCAUUUGCACCACUGCUAGCUAUGUGAGAACUUUCCCUUGCCUAUAAAUAGGAGUGCUUCUGUGAUCAGUUUCAUUCACACAAUCAUCAUGGUUUUCUUCUCUUAGAAUAUAACAGCCACUCUCCUUGUUCUUUCUUUUCUUACAUUAGCUUCUUUCUUGAGCUACCACCACCUGCCAUUACUUCAAUUUCCUCAUCUUGGAACUCAAAUGCCAUCCAAAAACGGCAGCCAUGGUAGCAAUAGCAGUUCAUGUAGCAAUAGCAGUAGCGAGGCAGAAAGAGUGGGGUUAUAGGGACGCUGUUGUCCCAGCUUUCGUUCUUACGAUUUCUGCAACUGGGCACCGGCGACAAUGUGUGCUGUCCCGUAGUUCCGGCGAAAGGGGAGAGAUCGAGCUUUGGCAGUCGAGGGAUUGAGCCAUAGUUGUUGAAUCCUUGCUGAUUUCGCCGAGUGCCGACGAGGUGUGCUGUCCCAUAGUUCCGGCGAAAAGGAGAGAUCGAGCUUUGCAGUAGAGGCUUCGAAGCGGAGAAGCAUCGAGCAUCGUCGUGAGUGUGCCGGGACAAGUUGCGACAACGGAGACUCCAGGCAACUUACUCGCCGGUCUUUGGCAGCAGCGAACGGCAACGAACCGCGUGGUGCCGAAGGCGAGAGACGACGGUGGAGCCUUGCGGCAGCUACUGAAACGGGCUUGGAGCGCGGUGGUGGUAUUUGGCUUCGGCUUUGUAGCGGUCUCCAGCUUCUUCUCAGCGGGCGUAGCAGUAGUCGGAAAUCAAUCUCUGUUUCUUGGUGAUUUUAGGCUCCUCGGCAAUCGGCAUCUCCAGAUGGCUGUGACCACUGCUGCUUCUCUUCGGCCAGCAACGGAGCCGCCUGUUCUCUCCUUUAAACAAACAAACUCCCUUAUCCAGUCUUUGUUCACCAAACAAUCAAAGGGAGUACUUUCCAGCUGCCAAGUUUCGGAUAUUUGAUGGCAAUGGGAGCUUGGAAGCUUGUGUUAAAGAUUGGCAUAGUCUCAUUAAUCAACUUCAUGGCGGAUUUUGCCCCAAACGAGAUGCUUUGAGUAUUUGCAAAGUUCGAAAUCUAUUGUCUUCUUUCUUUCAGUCUUGACAUCUCCAUCAGCCCGACUAAAGACCAUCCUCAGAGAGUUCAUCCAAAAAUCUGGCAGCAGCCUAUCUAAGACUUUAUUUGAGUGAUGUUUACUUUGCACUUCAGGUGGCUCAAUUGGCUUUUAAUCAGAUUUCGGGUGCGCUCGGAUCUGGGCCAUUGUGAGUCCAACCUUUGAAGAUUGCUGGUUACAUUUUCUCUUUGCGCGCAUUUGAGCAGGCUAGAUGACUCAAUGGUGUUCUAUUAUGUUUGGCGAACAUGUGUUUCAACUCCACGAGCGCAUUCAACUUUAGCUUGGAGAGAAGUGAAUUUGUCGAUGCAUAGCCGACCUCAAUGCCAGAUGACUCAAUUCUUUGACAGGUCUUGGGUGCGCUCAGGCCUGGGAUUGUUUGAAUCUGGUUUGAGUGAGGUUGUUGUUAUGUUUGGCAUCUCACGAAGUUGGGAGAAUUCUGCACAACGGCUCGAGAAGAUUGAGUAUUUUCUUCUUGAUGCUUAAGCCAAGGAGAAUGAAGCCAUCGUCCGAAUUGCUUUGAUCAAGGAAGUGCUUGCUAUGAUAGAGAGGUGGAAGACAGAGAUGACGUUGUCCUUCAAGCAAGAUAGUGCCUCCUUUCAUAUUGUCCGAGGUGCAAUCCCAUAAUUCAAAAGAGAGUUUGACAAACAUAAAGUUGCACAUGUUGAUGAGGAAAUGCUGCGGAAUUUUGAAGACUUCAGAGUCACUUUUGAUCUCUGCUCAGAGAACUUUGGAGGAUCAAGACCCAUUUGCUUAGUAUUGGUGCAAACCACAGUUUCUAUCAUUUCUCUCUUGAUGAUUCUUAUUUGGUUUGUGAUGGAUAUUUUGACAUCUUCUCCAAA